GCGACAGCCACCUUUAAAGAAUAUAAAUCAUUGAGCUACCUGUUUCACUAAAAACCACAGUUUCAGAGCCAUCCUUUGUGAAGAGAACUUCAAAAUGUCAAGGAGAAUUCACUGUCUACAGAAUGGAAACUCACCUGAAGUGUCCACGCAGGUCAUACUAUUGACAUACUUCUGAAAAAUAGAAUAUAGAGGAAGCAAUGGUAUGUCAUUUGAGAUUAGAUUACGAAGAGACCCUGGCUUCUACCUGGAGAUGCUCCCCAAAUCACUCUUUAAGGGAAACCUCUUCCAUGUUGUAGAGUUUCCCUGUGGAGAGAACCAUGUGGACAAGAAAUGGAUGUCUUUGGCUAACAGCCAGUAAGGACCCGAGACCUGCCAAGAGUUACAUAAAUGUGUUUCUGGAAGAGGAUAUUCAUCUAGCCCAGCCUUGUAUGAUUGAAGAUCCAGCCAACAACUUCAUGGCACCCUUGCAAAGCAUCUUGAUCCUGAGAAAUGCACUUAAACUUUGCCCAGAUUCCUGACCCACAACUUUGGGAUAAUGAAUGUCUGAUGUUUUUAGCCACUAAGUUUUGUUAAUUUUUGUGUGCACUAGAAGGUAAUAAAUACAU